GACGAACGCUGGCGGCGUGCUUAACACAUGCAAGUCGAACGGAAAUGCCCUGCUUUUGUGGGGUGCUCGAGUGGCGAACGGGUGAGUAACACGUGAGUAACCUGCCCUUGACUUUGGGAUAACUUCAGGAAACUGGGGCUAAUACCGGGUAGGAGCUCCUGCUGCUUGGUGGGGGUUGGAAAGUUUCGGCGGUUGGGGAUGGACUCGCGGCUUAUCAGCUUGUUGGUGGGGUAGUGGCUUACCAAGGCUUUGACGCGUAGCCGGCCUGAGAGGGUGACCGGCCACAUUGGGACUGAGAUGCGGCCCAGACUCCUACGGGAGGCAGCAGUGCGGAAUAUUGCACAAUGGGCGGAAGCCUGAUGCAGCAACGCCGCGUGCGGGAUGACGGCCUUCGGGUUGUAUACCGCUUUCGCCUGUGACGAAGCGUGAGUGACGGUAAUGGGUAAAGAAGCACCGGCUAACUACGUG
rnacentral:rRNA from 1 species